CGAAAGCGUGCGCGCUCAAACCACAGGCAGCUCACUGAGCUUAGUUUUGACAACUUCGGCGUGAACCCUCUUCCAGUGAAAACCAGGGUGCCAUUUCCAACCUUUGAGGUCUUCAGAGGACCUGAGGUUUACAGAUCCAGCGUGCAGAGCCGUUCCACAUGGCUGGUCUUUCAGUAAGGAGUCCAGGAUUAAACUCUAUUGGGAUUUCUGUGCUGCUCCUGGUCAUCCUCCUUCAAGUCUUGCUGCUGCACUUUCAUGGUGUCUUUAUCCACUCCAAUGAAGUCCUCAUUGGUCCUGUAAUCUUUUGUGAAAACAAUCAAUAUGGUGAACUAAUUUGUAGUCAAAGGGGAUGGUCAGGUCACUCUGGUCAGAAAAUGUACGGUAUUGAAGCGAUGCUCGCUCUGUGUUUUUAUGUUCCAAUCGUGCUUGUGGCCUUUUCGUUGCUCUGCAUGCUGUUAGCUGCUUACGCCAAAGACAGAACAACACUCCAGUGCGGCAUGGUCUGCCAGGCAGCAUCAGCCCUGCUCACUCUGGGAGGCAUCAUUAUGUUUUUGGCAUAUUUUCACUCCUAUUUGAGUUGGAAAGACAUGACACUUUGGUUUUAUUUGUGUGUUGGUGUGGAGGUACAGUUGAUUGUCACAACUGUACUUACGAGGGUUUUAGGACAGAAGCUGACUUCUGACUGGAAAUAAAUGGAUUCAUGCUGCACCAGAUUCCACAGGACCACAAGGUUAAGUUUAUUUCAUUUGUGUUGUCUGUGUUAAAAUCAUUUUGCUGAUGUAUAUUAUUACCUGUGCUUGAUAUGAUGUACUUUAGUAGAUCAAGUUUGUUUUUACUGCUGUACCAAUGAAAUGUCUGGACAAACUAAUUUGUAAGAGGAUAAGAAUGUAAGAAUGAAAAUGUGACAAUAAAUCAAAGCCAUUAUCAGUAUUAUACCUGCAAAUGUUAAAUGUCAUAAACUGUGUUUAUAAAAGAAAAAAAUCUCCUGAAGUACGUUGUCAGGCUCCAACUUUGUUUCUAACGCUUUAUUACAGUCAUAACAACUACGCUGCACCACUUAAGUUAAUACCUACUGGUGUUGUAGCCGGUAGCUGUUACUGGCUACUGUUGUACUGGCUACAUAUUGAUCUCAAUGUGUA